GGGGAAUCUUGCGCAAUGGCCGAAAGGCUGACGCAGCGACGCCGCGUGGAGGAUGACGCCCUUCGGGGUGUAAACUCCUGUUGCCCGGGACGAAUACCCGUUUCGACGGGGGUGACGGUACCGGGUGAGGAAGCACCGGCUAACUCUGUGCCAGCAGCCGCGGUAAUACAGAGGGUGCGAGCGUUGUCCGGAAUCACUGGGCGUAAAGGGCGCGUAGGCGGCUGGGUAAGCGUGUGGUGAAAGCCCGGGGCUCAACCCCGGGUCGGCCAUGCGAACUGUCCAGCUGGAGCACGGUAGGGGCACAUGGAAUUCCGGGUGUAGCGGUGGAAUGCGUAGAGAUCCGGAAGAACACCGGUGGCGAAGGCGGUGUGCUGGGCCGUGGCUGACGCUGAGGCGCGACAGCGUGGGGAGCAAACA
rnacentral:rRNA from 1 species